rnacentral:rRNA from 1 species
GGUGAACGCUGGCGGUAGGCCUAACACAUGCCAGUCGAACGGCAGCACAGUAAGAGCUUGCUCUUACGGGUGGCGAGUGGCGGACGGGUGAGGAAUACAUCGGAAUCUACUUUUUCGUGGGGGAUAACGUAGGGAAACUUACGCUAAUACCGCAUACGACCUACGGGUGAAAGCAGGGGAUCUUCGGACCUUGCGCGAUUGAAUGAGCCGAUGUCGGAUUAGCUAGUUGGCGGGGUAAAGGCCCACCAAGGCGACGAUCCGUAGCUGGUCUGAGAGGAUGAUCAGCCACACUGGAACUGAGACACGGUCCAGACUCCUACGGGAGGCAGCAGUGGGGAAUAUUGGACAAUGGGCGCAAGCCUGAUCCAGCCAUACCGCGUGGGUGAAGAAGGCCUUCGGGUUGUAAAGCCCUUUUGUUGGGAAAGAAAAGCAGCAGGUUAAUACCCCGCUGUUCUGACGGUACCCAAAGAAUAAGCACCGGCUAACUUCGUG